UAUUUUAUUUCAGUACUAAUGUUGUCUCGUUUAUUGUGGUCAUAAGAUGGAUGACGAAAGUCAAUAUAGUAAUUCCUUGACCCAAGAGACGAUGGACUCUAACGAGGAGUACACAGACAGUGAGAUGAUAAGAGAUUUGAUAGUUAGGAACGACGACUUAAAGGUUAGAGCUGAGCAAGCGGAGGCACAGAAUCGUACUCUC
rnacentral:lncRNA from 1 species